rnacentral:rRNA from 1 species
UACGGGGGGGGCAAUCGUUGUUCGGAAUUACUGGGCGUAAAGGGCUCGUAGGCGGCUUGUUGCGUCGACUGUGAAAACCCGCGGCUUAACUGCGGGCUUGCAGUUGAUACGGGCAGGCUAGAGUUCGGUAGGGGAGACUGGAAUUCCUGGUGUAGCGGUGAAAUGCGCAGAUAUCAGGAGGAACACCGGUGGCGAAGGCGGGUCUCUGGGCCGAUACUGACGCUGAGGAGCGAAAGCGUGGGGAGCGAACAGG